AUACGUAGGGUGCGAGCGUUGUCCGGAAUUACUGGGCGUAAAGAGCUCGUAGGUGGUUUGUCGCGUCGUCUGUGAAAUUCCGGGGCUUAACUCCGGGCGUGCAGGCGAUACGGGCAUAACUUGAGUACUGUAGGGGAGACUGGAAUUCCUGGUGUAGCGGUGAAAUGCGCAGAUAUCAGGAGGAACACCGGUGGCGAAGGCGGGUCUCUGGGCAGUAACUGACGCUGAGGAGCGAAAGCAUGGGUAGCGAACAGGAUUAGAUACCCUGGUAGUCCAUGCCGUAAACGGUGGGCGCUAGGUGUAGGGGUCUUCCACGACUUCUGUGCCGUAGCUAACGCAUUAAGCGCUCCGCCUGGGGAGUACGGCCGCAAGGCUAAAACUCAAAUGAAUUGACGGGG
rnacentral:rRNA from 1 species